rnacentral:rRNA from 1 species
GAUGAACGCUGGCGGCGUGCCUAAUACAUGCAAGUCGAGCGAACAGACGAGGAGCUUGCUCCUCUGACGUUAGCGGCGGACGGGUGAGUAACACGUGGAUAACCUACCUAUAAGACUGGGAUAACUUCGGGAAACCGGAGCUAAUACCGGAUAAUAUAUUGAACCGCAUGGUUCAAUAGUGAAAGACGGUUUUGCUGUCACUUAUAGCUGGAUCCGCGCCGCAUUAGCUAGUUGGUCAGGUACCGGCGUACCCAGGCCACGAUGCGUAGCCGACCUGAGAGGGUGAUCGGCCACACUGGAACUGAGACACGGUCCAGACUCCUACGGGAGGCAGCAGUAGGGAAUCUUCCGCAAUGGGCGAAAGCCUGACGGAGCAACGCCGCGUGAGUGAUGAAGGUCUUCGGAUCGUAAAACUCUGUUAUUAGGGAAGAACAAAUGUGUAAGUAACUAUGCACGUCUUGACGGUACCUAAUCAGAAAGCCACGGCUAACUACGUG